rnacentral:lncRNA from 1 species
UUGCACAUUUUCUCGAAAUUUAUUGUGUUCUAAUCUUGAAUUUGUCCAAAAGAUUGGAUCUUUCAAGUUUAUGAUGUAUGGGUUUGUAAAUUGGAGCUCGUAGCAGCUGAAGGGAUCAUUUUUCUAUUACUCCAGUUUCACUCAUGGGCUGCACACUUAUCAGAUUUUACUGCAAAGAGGGCUAUCUUUCUUUCAAUUUCUUGCUCUGAAAGCACAGGUCAAGGUAUAAAGUAGGCCAAGUAAUCCUUUUGCCUUUUUGCCUUUAUUUUUUUGGAGCCAUUGUUUGGGUUAUUCAUUUUCUUUAGAAUUGGGAUCAAUAUAACUACAUGUAGUGAUUAAUCAUCUUAGGCUCACUUUUGCUGAAAAGUCUUUUUUCUUUUGGGAUUUUUGUUUCAGUUUCCAUAAUUUGUUGUUGUUCGAGAAAUCUUUUGUAGUUCAUAUUUAUGAUCAGCUGAGAAGUGAGAACCCUCUGGAAGCUACUUUAAAGUGAUGAAUUGCACUCUCUCUGUAAGGAAAUGCUAUUUGUUUACUCAAUUAGGGUGUUUUUGUAUUCAUAUACUAUGCAUAGGUUGUAUGUGUGUGUGUGGAUUUUUGAAGAAGAUAUAAUUGGCGUAAAAACUUUGACUUGUCUGCAUUUGAGCAAAACUUCAAAAGAAAUCUAAUAUAUUUGGUUUACAUUAAGCCUUUUAUGUCCAAAUGCAAUAUUUGCUUAGUGCUGAACUAUUAUGCAAAUGCAAGUUUUUGACUUGGCAUUCUUUACGGUUUACUUUUGCGAUAACGCCUGAUGAGGCUUAUUUUUCUGUUUACUAGUAAGUCAGGAUGUUAUGCUGCCCAUUUUUUUUUUUUUUUUUGUGAGAGUGUGUGUGUGUGUGUGGUUUUUUUCUUUUUAACUUCUUUAAAGGCUUUCCCUAUAAGCAAACAUUAGGGCCAGCUAUUUUCUUUUUUUUUUCUUUUCUUUUUUCAAUUAUUUGGAUUUCAAAGUUGAGGAGCCAAAUCGAGUAGUUGAAUUUGUGCGUCAUACUUCAUAGGCUCCACUUGGCAGAUUGCACCAGGUGAGUAGUACAGAAGAUUGGGAGUGUUGCCCUGUUUUCCCUCAAAUUCCUGGUUCUAAAUAAGCUUGAGCAAUCCUUUUUAUGCAAAACCCAAAAAUUGUGCUACCUUCCUGCUUCUCUGCUUCUCCCAUUUUUGUGCCAAACAUGAAGUUUCCUGAUAUUCUCUGUUAGUGACUUCCUUUUUUUGUUUGUUUUUAAGAUACUUUGAGUCAUUGUUGAUAGCUUUUUGAGCAUUGACACAAUUAUAUCUCUUAAACUUGCUUAUAAUUUUCUUUUGGAGGUCAGGAAGGUUAGGGAACGGUUGUUUUUGGUGUUUGUGUUGGAAACAUGAAGUAUAUUUAACUUCUUGUCAUGUCAAAGGUCCAAACAAUGACAAUGGAUAUCUCUGCUAGAUGUUGGACCUAAAGAUGGUUUGUCAUUGUUGCUUUAUGUUGUUUCAAAGUAUUCUGCAAUAGAUUCUCUUAGGAAAAAUCAUGUUGGUUUUCUUCUGGUUUAAGGCAGAAAGCCAUUAGGUUCGUUAUAACUAAUGUACAUAAUUUGAUGUAGGAAUUCUUCAUCUGAUGUUGCAGACUAUCUUGAUCACAUCUAAUGGAGCUUGUAAGCUGGGUGCAUUUGGUUUCACACCUACAGGUCACUCAUCCAGUGAUUCAGCUAAUGUGCGGGCUUUCCACUAUGCUGUGAGUGUAAAUUUUCAUAUCACAGUGAAAAACAGAAUAUAAUUGCACGUUUUUUUUAGUUCAUUUUUCUACUGCAUUUCUAGUUAUUGAAUUUGUGAAUUGAUAGCAUUUCUUUUAUCUGAAUCUUAUUGCUGUUAAGCAUGCUGCUGGACCUGCAUUAGCUUUUUGAUUUAUCAUGGAAAAUCUGUUGUUUGAAUAGUAGUAUCUUAAACAGAUUUGGUUGCUAAUUGGUUCUUGGAAAGGUUUAACACAAAUUUUCUUCAUAAAUUAGUGCUUGGAGCUCUAUCAAUGCUAUAUCUGAGCUCAAGUAUGAGCUAUAUAUGAAGAGGAGCCAGGCAGAUCCAUAUGGUUUCAUGUUACAUUAGAGUUAGAUCUAUGUUGUUGAUGAGUAAAGAAUAGAAAGAAGUGUUGUGGGAGGGGUUUUGGAAGGACCGAAGUGCAUGAUAUAUGUAGAUUUGGUGAGUAUGAUCCUCUUAACGUGCUGGACUAUUAUGUUAUCACCUUAGACUCAAUCAAGACAAGUACAUCGAAGAUUAGGGAUGACAACGCGACAGGUGCCUGCCUUGCAGGGGAAGGAAUGGGACGGGAGAUUUUUCUCCUCCUACUUUAAAUGGGGUGGGGGAGGAUACCAAUAUAUAUUUUGACAAAAGCUUUGUCCUUCAUAUCAUUCGAUUCUUUUGAGUCUCUUUUGAUUAGUAGACAGACAAAAGAAUAUAUCAGUUUUUUGGUUAGAACUUACUGUUAUACUAGCACCAAAUGUUCUUGACUGUGAUUGCAACAUCUCCAAUUAUGGGAAGUAAGGGGCCGCUUGGUUUGAGGGGUUUGGCAUGUGGAAUGACAAUAAUUCCAAUAUUUAGUGCUUGGUACACUGUAAUGGCAAUUGAAAUAUUGGAAUCAUACCCAAUUCAUGAUUCCCGACUAAAUUGGGAGGAAUCACUCAAAACCCUCAGCUCAUUUCCAACAGUGAAUAAAUAAAAGACAAAAUAUUUUGUUAAAAUACUUUCUUUCUCCCUCUCCCAGACUUCCACCAUCGAACCUCCCCUUCCUCUCUGCCUUCAACACCUCUCUCUCCCCCAUGGCAUCUGGCAAUUCCUCCCCUUUUUCUUAUUUUUCCCUCUUUAUCAGCAUUUGACAACACCCAAAUGGGCUUGCCGGCAGAAAAAUAGAUUCAAAUGGAAGAAAUCGAAGAGGAAGCCGCACCAGCAAACACCGACAAGUCAUCACCGUUAUUAUCUGAAUUCUCCCCGUAAGAUCCGUUGGCCCGAGGUCGAGGUCCACCUCUACAAGCUUGGCAAAGGACCCAUCAAUGUCUUCAAGUCCAGCCUUAGUGGGUGGGACCAAGACUAGUUGGAGGUCACCGAUUUUUUUCCUUUUCCAUGGCAUCUGACAAAAUCUCUCUUCUUCUCCCACGGCCGGUCACUUCCACCUCAUCCCAGUAGACCCUUUCUUCUCCUCCCUUGCCAUCAAAUCGUCCUCCUCAUUGCAAUCGUUCUCCACAAAUCGUUCAAAUCUUUUAUUGAUUAGUCAUGAGUUUUUGUUGAUAAUCGUUGAACCAAAAACAAAAAAGAUUUGGAUUGGUAGUGAUUUGAUGAUGGGCGUGAUUAUCAAUCCAAGAACAAUAAUUAAAAAAUAAAAAAUUAAUUUUGAUACCAUUCCAACUAUAUUUAUACCAAGCACUAGUCCGUGGAAUAAUACCAGGGGUUCAAACCCAUACUAAUUUUUUGUAUAUCAUUCCAUCUCCAAUACCAAUUCCAAAACAUGAACCAAGCACCCCCUAAGAGUGUCCAUAAGAUGGAUUAGUGAUGACUAGAGAACCAAUUUCUGGAUGGCAAACACCACAAGCCCUCUAACAGAGAUCAAUGGCAUAGGAUUGAUGAUUUCUUAAUAUGUUAGGAUCCUAACAUGCCCCACUAGGAUUAUACCGCUACAGUGCAAUUGACCGCGUUCCAAACCCAAAAAUGAAGCCCUGUAGCUGAUAAUCAAGUAAAACGUGUGGCUAAAUAAAAAUCAGGCUAAAUAUAGUGGCCACCUCUGGGGCAUUCGUUUUGUUAUAUGUGUAGAAAAAAUGAGGCUAAAUAAAAAAUACGAAAUAUUGUGGCCACCUCCGGGGCACUCGUGAGGAUUGUGGGGCUAGGGUGGGGGCGGAGGAAGCCGGGGAUUGGGCGGGAGCGGGGAAACUUUUAUAACAUGGGGCGAGGGACGAGGAGAGCUCUCCCGCCACAUUGCCAUCUCUAUUGAUGAUGUCAUAUAAGUGAUCCAACCUGUAGACACCCAACUUUCAACUAGUUCUGUGACGACCCCACCUUCCUCUAGGACGUACCCCAGGGUUUAGCGGACCGUCUGUCUAGCUUUCACCAGGCCUCACUCACUAUUUCGGAUAAUAUAAUUCACAACUUCUUAACGUAAAUAAAACAACAGUUGUCAAAUUUGAAACAUACAAAUACAUUCAUUUUUGUCUCAAACUUCCAUACAAUCCCAAAUACAUCAAAAGAUUGGAGUUCUAAAUACAUUCAACCCUAAUCGAGCGAUUAGUGUGAUUACAAUUAUAAAAUUUUCAAAAAUUAGACUACGCUAGUCUGUAUAAGUCUCACGCCUCGCUCGUACCCCCUGUAAGGAAAAGAAAACUAAUAAAGUGAGUUAAAACUCAGUGAGGUCUCAAAUAGCAAGUUGACCAAUAAGUACAAGUGACAACACCAUAAUAGUAAAGUAGCGAGCAUUAACAAAUCAAGAAAAUGAGCAAUAACACUUUGGAUGACCAAACAUUAAAUAUUCAGUAUUUCAUGUAAAAGGAUACAGUUGCUUUUGUAAACUAGUUCCACCAUAGCUUGAUCAUAUAGUAGUUGACACUCUGUCAACUUUCAAGUAAGGUAACUAGUCCUGUAGUACAUCAUUUAACUCUAAUCUCCGUCCACCAACCAAAUCCCUUACCGGACCCGAACUCCAAGAUAAACACUGAUAGUAAUACUCGAGUAUACCGAUUAGUCGAGAAGAUAACACUCCGCUCGACAAAAACUAAAGAUUUAGGGUUCGUUAUCGAAUCGGCUAAACCCUUGCCGGUUCGAUUCGAUUAACUAGCCACAAGGUUUCUGAAAUUUCAGACAAGAUACGAAUCAUAUUCAUAUACAUCAAGUCAAUUUCAAUCAAUGAACAAGAAUAUGACACAUUAGGGCAAGUGCGAUAAAGUACAUCCUUGCUCGAUCAAACCAAUUACAUAUUAUUCGAUCACAUUGGUCAACUAUUGAAAACAAGUAUUAAGUUCAAUCAGGUAUUUGGAAGCACCCACCAAAGAUUUAGUGCUUCUUCGGAUCACGUUCAGGUAUUACUCCUGAUUUGGAGUCCAAAUCGGCGAUAAAAUAUCGUUUCAGGUAUUACUCCUAGUUUAAGAGCUUUGAAAUCAACUAAAGUUCGAAACUUAAGCGUUUCAUUUAAUGAAAAACAAGUAAUUGAAACUCAUUUGGUUUCAUGUUCUAUAAAACUCAUGCUCGAUCUUUUAGUUUUGGUAAUAAAGUGAGUAAAAUUUUGAAAUUCCCAUUUGAGUCGAAAAGACGAGAAUAACGUAUUUUUAUUGAUCGUUACUUUCAUUUUUCUCAAGGGUACGAGUUUCGGCAAAAUUCCAAAUUAUAUAUAUCUACGAAAGUAGACUCGACUACCCUAAACAAAUCAAGUUUAAUUCGUCCUCAAAUCUUGGCCUAAGUCGCGAGUACACACGCCUAACUCUUGAGUGAAAAUUUGGGCGGUACGUCCUUUGUAUUUCGUUAUUUUUCAGCAAUUUAUGGCUUUAUUAUUUCCUCAAUUCAGCCCAAGGUCACGCAUAAGCAAUAUUAACACAAUAGCCUUUUAACUAAACUCAAAGUCAUCCAAUUACAAUACAAGUUUAGCAAUGCAACCGGAAACCAAUUUUAAAGACAAAGGCUAAACAGAAGGUUUGAUGUCUCUUGGCGUUUCGGUCACAACUGAAACUACACUUAUCGGUUUGAGGUAAAUUUUAUGGCGUUUUGAAUCUAAGACAGAGAAUUAUAUUUCCUAUGAAGGUAUCAACAUCUAGUUCGUGCAUUUUCAAGGUUAAAAUAUGCAAUCUCAGAGAAAACAGAAAACUAUCCUCGAAAAAGAGCAUUCGGCAGUCAAGGGUAUUUUAGUCAUUUCACACGUUAUGGUGCUCCGAUUGAGUUGAAAUUUUGCAGGCAGCUAGUUAACUCUAUUCCAUACAACUUUCAUGUUUUAAUUUAGACCUGAUUCAGCCUCUAUCAUACUCGGAUAUACAGGUCAGAAACAGGACAGUUUGGCCUACAAUUUUUGGAAUUUGAUGAUUCAAUACUUGAAAAUCACAUUUAUGUCUUGAAUCACUACUCCAAGUCCCUAUUUAAGUUCAUCAAUAUCAUAUACUAGAUAAAAACAAGAAUCACAACUGAAAAUACCAAAUCCUAGCUAAACAUUCCAUCAUAUCAUGUAAAACUCACUAAUUAACCAUCAUAAACCAAGAUUAAGAGCUUCUAUUCAAACUUUAGCAAAAUUGAGAAGAGAAAAAGGAAAGGCAGCCAUAAUACCUUUCAAGGCUGCUUGUAGGAGAAAAUCACAACCCUUCCUUCCAAAACUUUAUCACACAAAACUUCCUAAGUUUUCAAGUGAAAGUUUAAUUGAUUUAGAUUUUUGAUUCAACUCAAACAAGGUCAAAAAUCAAGAUUGGAAUUGAAGUGUUUCUUUCCUCUUUUCUCUCUUAAACUCUCGGCCACCUUGGAGGAUAAUGAGGAAGAAAUGAAGCUCAAGAAAAGAUAAGAAUGUUCGAAUUGGUUUGGUCAAACAAUCUUUGGAUGGUUGCCAAGUGUCGCCGCAAGAUUAAGUCCUUAAUUUUUCUUCUUUUUCCUUUCUUUUUGGUCAACAAUUUCGGCCCUCUCUGGGAUAAUCAAGAGCUGAUAUUUCUGAAAUAAUAGGUAAUAAAUUGGUAGUCAAGUAGUGUAUGCAAUCGGGUAAUGAAUGAUAUGCAUCGGUUCAAAUCGAUUUUCCUUGAAUCACGUGUAUUAGUGUUUUUAUUUAUGAUUCACUCACUUAUGAUUAUCACUUCUAAACAUACAUGAUGGGAUUUUUAUAUCAAUACAAGUUUAAAUCUGAUUUUAUACCUGUUGACUGUAAGUGUACAGGCCGAAAUCGUAAUGUAGGGUAUGUAUCAGGUCGAUCCCACGAGAAGCAAAUUAAACAAGUACUAGGUUCUUAUUUUUCUCUAUUAUUUAGACUUGCAAUAAAUCUAAGUAAGAAAAUUAUUAUGCUGCUAUUGUUUACAAAUAUGGUUUAAUUAAUGUUAAAUGCAAAUGGAGAAAUUUCACUAAAGAUUGAAUUUAGGGAUGUAGAUUUCACUUAUGGCAUAAACAACACAAAUGAAUAGAUUUGCCUCUUGUUAUUUUUCUUGUUUAAUCAGGGAUUCAUUUCCAAUAUUAUCAAAUCUCAUUCUCAUGAUGAAAUGGUUUAGAGUAAUAUAGGGUUUGUUUGGAUUGCUUCAUAUUUCCCCAAUUUUAUUUACUUACAUCAUCUUUACAAUUUCCAAUACACCUUUUUAUCUUCUCAAUAUCUUUUUAUCUCACAUACAUCACAUCACAAAAAGUGCUACAGUAAAAAUAUCUCAAAUAAUCCCAAAUAACUUACAAUCCAAACAGACCCAUAGUUUUCCCUAUUUUUAUGGUGAAAUACUAGUUCUACUCUGUUUUCCUUCAUGAAAUACUGGAAAAUCCACUCAAGUUUACAUCUAUUUUUAUGAACAUACAACUCAAGAUCAACUCAUGUUUUUUCAUUGUUACUAUCAAUUCCCAUUGACUAAUAACAACUAUGAACAUGCUAUUGGUGAUCAAACAACAAGAAGUAAUUACAACUGCACAAAUAGACAAGUUAAUACAAGAUAUAACAAGUGUAAAUCACAUUCAAUUCAUAUUAUUUAGCCAUAAGUUUCAUCUACUUCUUAGAUAAAGAAAAUUAGCUACUCAUGAAUGAAAUAAAAAUCAAACUCACAAGUUUAUUAAUGCAAAACAUCAUAAAGUACAACUACAAGAAAGAUAAAAGAAAGCUUAGCCAAUUAAUGGUGAAACCUUCAAAUUUCUGCUAUGUUCUUGUAUAAGAUGAUUAUAAGAUGAGUCUUCAAUUGUUUUCUCAAGAACUUCUAACUAGAGAGAAAAUGUUAUCAGAUGAAAAACUCCCUACGUAUGGCGUCCAGACCUCUUUUAAUGUCUCUGCAUAAAAACUGUUCAAGAGCUCCAUUUUUCCAAGUUAAAUUCCACCUUUUGAUUCCUAAAUCUCAACUUUGUUAGAAUAGUCAAUAACCAAUGUUUUUGACUUGAAAAUAAGUCACCUUUCUUGUCCUUUUGUCUUCUGAAGCAUGUGCACCGAGUUCCCUUGUAAUUUAUGGCUGGAAAGUAGUAUAAAUACAAGAGAAAUGGCUGAACAAAUUGCAGCUUUUCGGCUACAAAACGCGACUACACAAAACGCGGCAUAAACUCGCGUUUUGUUAACUUGGCCUUGCUUCAACUGCGAUUUUCUCUAUGGUGAAGGUCGAACUAGCUUUUGUGUAAAACACAAAAGUUGCAGCCCUUUGAGUUAGCUUUACAAUGCUUUAAAAAUCAUCCAAAUCGGAGUUUUGUAGCCAGAUAUAUGGUCGAAAUACUAUCGUCUGGUCAAACCCCUGUUUCGAUUUUUGACCAUAGAAUGCAGUUUCUGUAUUCCAACUUUUUGUCCAUGAAAACUGCAGAAUUGGAUUUUGAUGUCUUCAUAACAAUUGUAGGUCUCUUUCUUAUGUUUAAAAUGGUAUAAAGAUUACCUCAAUCCGAUAAGUGUAGUUCCAGAUAUAGUCGAAAUAUCGAAGAGUGUCAAAACUGUCUUGAAUUGCAUUUCCUCAUUUUGAACGUUUUUCACUUCAUUUCUCUUUUAAGCACUUGAAUUCAUCACCAAUUAUUUAUUUUUCAUCUCACUUGACAUUCUUUGGUGAUUGAAUCAUUAAACCUGCAUAAAAAUGAAGUUUUUAUCACUAAAAUCAAUAAAAAUGUAAUAACGGCCACUUUUACCAAAUAAUGUAUAUUUUUACUAAAAUCUAUUUAUUUUAGUUAUAAAACUAAAUAAUCAAAACCAAAAUCAACUAAUACAAUGCACUUAAAAAUAUGUAAAAUAAACUCUUAUCAAAUAUCCCCACACUUGAAUCAUUGAUUGUCCUCAAACAAUUAAAAACACUAACCAACAAUGAUUCCAAGAUUGAAAAUAAACAUACGUAGCAUUUCAACUUCAUUUCCUUGAAUCAAGGUAAAUAACCCUUAUGUGAUCUUUCAAUUAACUUCAAAUACUCAUAGUAUCAAACAAAGAAGAGCCUAGUAUGUGGCGACCCCACUUCUCCCUAAGGCAAACCAACGGGUUGGCGGGCCGCCUGUCCAACUCUCGCCAGGACUCACGCAAGCAUUCUAACCCAAAUUCUUUCGAAGAAUAAUCUAAUCUAUUACAAAACAAUUCUCCCGAAAAAGACCGUAACUAAAAUCACAUUAACUUCAGAGAUAGCAGUGAUUUAAAAUAGCCAAUCGAAGCUCUAAAACGUCCCACGUGCUACAUACAAGGUAUAAAGUCGUAUCAAUCCAGAUGGAUAAUUACAUACAUCACUAUUACAAACUUACAAGUCAAACACUCGAAUUAGGGUUUACACAUUUUCCAGUUUCAAGUGGCAAUCCAAAAUGAAAGUACAUAAUCUCAAUUAACGCAUUACAGCCCACAAAAUAAGUCUUAGUAUUCAAAUACAUUCCAAAAGGAAAACAUGAGUAAGUUUCAAAGCUUUCAACUUCCAGAGCCUGUUAAGAAAAACAAAUAAACGUGGGGUGAGCUAACGCUCAGUGGUGCCCAAAAACAUGCAAUCAUGUAAAUCAAACACCGAGUAAUAACUUAACCAAAUUGAACAGUUAGGAAAGCGUAUAACAGCACAAGGUAGGAUACAGGGGCUCUCAGGAGCCAUUUUCCUCGCUUAAUCACCAUUCAUCGUAGUUGACCCUCCGUCAACUCUCACUAUUUAUAGUCCAUGUAGAUCCACUCAUUUUUACUCAUAACCCGUCACCGUUCAUACCCCUGUCCCGGACCCGAACAACGACUAAGAACGCAGUAUACUCGAGAUAUACCCGUAGAUGAUUGAUCGAGGGAUUCACCCAACGACGUUAUUGUAGUAAGAUUCAUGCGUCGAAGGAUUCACCCAACGACGUUAUUGCGUUUAGAUUCAUGAGAAAAUGAUUCACGCAAGUCACCACUCGAACGGCUAAUGCGAUAAAGUACACACUGCUCACUUCGAUGCAUCAAAAACUAGUUUGCAAAUUAUCACAUAUUGAGUCAAGAAAGCACUUUAACCAAGUAAGCAUAGAACAAGCAGGGACACUCACCAAGAGUGAAGUUCAGAUGUCAAAUUGGGAAUCGAAUUUCGCGUCCUAGCAAUAUCCUAGAAUACCAAAUUUUGAAACUAUAAGUUUUUAUUCAGUUUUUAAGCUUAUACACAUCGAGAUUUAUCUAAUAUAUUACUAGUUUACUUUCCCAUAGUAAAUUCAAGAAUCUACUUAGGUUGAAGCUUGACAAAAGUAGUAGAAAUGUUUCUUAUAGUUUUCCUUGAGAUAUUUUUCCUUAUAAAAGGGUAACUAGUAUUAUUUUUUUGAAAUAAGUCGACAAACCUCUUAACAUCAAAGCUAGAAAGAUACCUUGAAAAUUUCUUUAAAGCUACGGUUCUUGCAAAAAUUAUCACUAAAACUGUUUUACCUAAAAUAAAGUUUCUUGCCGAGCAAGUUUCUACAUUUUUAAUUAAAGUUAUUAAAAUUCUUAUUUUGGAACUUUUCCUACCGACAACUAUCCAAGGGCAAAUUUUAAAGAAAGAAAAGGAAUUAAAAUAAGAUUUAGGGUUUUUAAAAGCUAGAGAAAUUAUUUUCUAUAACUAUCAAGGUUAGUUUGAACUAAAGGAAAAUUUCGAGUUGGCAAGGUUUAGAAAAUCCUUUCACGAAAUUUCUAACUUUAACCUUCAGUGCUAAGUUCUAUCGUACCAUACUAGAGUGAAGAUAUAUUUAAAUAGCUUGCUUAAAAACUUCUCAAGUUCACAGGACCAAAAUGAAUUCCUUACGAUUCCGAUUUACAAGCACAUAAUAUUUCAGAUUUGUCAAUAUGACCAACUCACAUUUCAAAUAGAAAUCUCACUAGGGUUUCGUCAAUCAUUAGCCCUAGGUUUCAACAGAUUCAAUUCUGAUCAAAAAUAAAACGAAUGACCAAGGUUUCGUCAAUCAUUAGCACUUGGUUUUGGCAAGCUCAUAUCACAUUUUAAUUAAAACAAAAUGAAGGUAAGACCUCCAAGAAAUUCCAGCAAUUAAAGUUCAUCAUCCUUUAAUAUUUAUAAAAUCAUUCAAAUGGCCAAGGGUUUCAUCAAUCAUUAGCCCUUAACAACCAUCAAUCACUUCCAACCACAAUUAAAUCAGGAAUUCAAAUCACAAUUAAGCUAAAUGUUCAAUCCAAGUCAAAAUUCAGUUUCAUGAAGAAACAGGACAUUCAAGCAGGACAGCCUACUUUGAGGAAUCAUGGACAGCAGUACACAUGGAGGAAAAAUAUGAAAUUUCUACAGAACCAAGGCUCAUGAUUCUAGUUUCAAAUGCCAUUGACGGCACCUUAAACGGAUUUUCCUACACCAAGAUAUAAGCAUUUUAUUGAGACUGGUCAGUGAAAUCCGAAAAUCUGAAGACUCAUUUUUCACUUGUGAAAAACUCCUUUUUCUCUUUUAACACCAUAAGGUUUUUAUUCAAACCAUCCAUACAUUUCUUAUAGAACUCUAAAACAACAUAUUUCAGACAUUUCCAACCAUUAUGUUUCAAAGAAAAAUUUUAAAACCAAGUUGAGAUUCCAACUCAACCUUCGGCUACCACAAAAGAAAUUCCAGCAUUUAUAUGCCAAUAUUUUUGGUUCAAUCUUUCAAUAUAUCCAAUAUUUUAUUGCUAAACAACUUACACAACUUAAAAUUUACAUCUCCUAUGUAUUUCUAAAUCAUUAUAUUCCAAGGGGAAAAAAAUAAAAUAAAAUAAAUUUCCAGAAACCAAUUAAAAUUUUCAAAGACAAACUGAAAAUUCUGGUUCAUAACCCUCGGCCAUCAAUACCUUUCCAGCACUUAGGGUUUUAUAAAUCCAACUUUUCCUUGGCUAAAACAUGAUUUUAGAUUCUCAAAUUCGUCAUGUGAACCUUUGGCUAGCUAAUUAACAUUUCUGGUUCAAAAUCGAAUUCGAAUAACAGUUUCAAACAUCCCAAAAGUCCAGAAAUCUGUCCAGCUAGUCACGGAUGAACAUGUAUGAAGAAACUUUCUGUUUUCAUUUUAUUUUCUUGGUUAAAACAUAGUAUUACUUACUCAAAUUUGACUUGUAAACACUUAGUUAACCGAUUAACAUUUCCAGCUCGAAAUUAAGUUCAAACAACUGUUAUAAUCCUCAAAAUUUUCAGGUUUAACUCACGGUAGUUCAGAAAAAAUUUUUUUAGAAAUUGUAUGUUCUUAAUCUAGCUUUUUCCUUGGCUAAAUCAGUAUUUUAGGAACUCAAAUUCAACAUGCAAAGCCUUAAUUGUAUUAAUCAUCCAAGUUUAAGUUAACUAAUCAUAAUCUUAGGUUUUGAUCAUCACAACAAAGCAGAUUACAUCAUGAAAUUCUUAAUCAAUUCUUGGUCAACUAUUUUCUUUUCAAAACAGAAUUUUCUUAUGCCUUAACAUCAUCAUCCGAGUCUAGAUUCCACAUGCAACACCCUAAUCAACUUAAUCUUUCACUUUUUAGUUAACUAAUCAUGAUCUCAACCUCAGGUUAUCAAAAUUGGAUAGAUUAGAAACUGCAUUACUUUGCUAAUCUCUCGGCCGAACUAUUUAGCCAUCCAGUUAGAUUUUUCUUUUUCUAAUGUCUCAUCCGAUGGUUUAAAAUCAACAUGCAAAGGUGGAACUAACUUAUUCAUCUUGUCUUAAGUUAGGGAGACGCAUCUUUAAGUUCAGAUUGUCACAGGGAUGCAAAAAUAAAGCUACAUUUCCAAACCAGUUCCUCGGCAAAAACAUUUUCAUCAAAACAGAAUUUUCUAGUGUCUUGAAUUUAUCAACCGAUUGCACAAGCAACACAUGCAGGCACUGAUAUGUCUUUAUCUAUUAGUAAUUAACCUAAUUUAGCCCAGCAAUUACCUCAGAUACAAGCUAAGCCUACGCACAAGAAGUCUGGAAUUUCUUUCUUCCUCUCGGCUCUCACGCACGGCUUGGAGGGUUGGUUGCGGUUGCAGUGGUUGCGGCUGAGAACUGGUUGCAGCUGGUGGAGAUGGAGGUGCAGAAUGGUGAAGCUCACUCACGAUUUUCUCCCUGGUUUCGCUCCAGCUCACGGCAGAACCAGAAAAUUUUGCAACUCACGGCUUCUUCUCUCAGUUCCUCUUUGUCGAUGAUAACGAGACAAAGAGGAAAUGUGGUUGUGGAGAGGAAGUGUUGUGGUCUGAGGGAAUUUUGUGCAGAGGAAAUGGAAUGGUGGUUUAUGAUAUAGGAACGAAGAGGUAGAGAUAUGGUGCCACGGUUUUGGAGAAGGGUUUGAGUGUAGGAAAUGGUUACAUAUAGAAUUGGUGAAAAUGUGAUUGGCCGAUUGGGGCGGUGAUUGAGAUGCUGUCAGAAGGAUUGUUUGGUUUUGCAUGAAAAUGUUGUGGUUGUAAGGCAUUUUAGUCUUUUCACUUUGCUUCCUAACCUCUACUUAAAUUCUCCAUUCUAAUUUUAAAACAAAAAAUUAUCCCCAAGUGUGAUUUGAACGCCUAAUUAUACACUAGUAUACUUAAACCAUUUUUUUAUCGAAUAUUUAUCGAUUAAAAAUUUAAUAUUAAGGUUCCUAGUAAUUCCUAACAUUAUUUAGCGAUUAAAUUAGUUAUCAGAAUUUUCAAUUAUUUAUUCUCAAGAGAUAGAGUUAGUCUAACUCGAAAUUUAUCAAUUUAGUAAUAUAAGGUCAAAUGAAAUAAUAAUUUAAUACAAGUGUGUCAGUUUGCACAUAAAAAUUAUUUUUACGUACUUAAUUGCGAACAAGCAAAAGUAAUGCUAGAAAUUAUUAAGAAAUAAAAGAAAUGCAAAUGAAAUAUGCACUGGCUUAUAUAUCUAUUUAGUCUAAUCUCCAAAUCGGCUAUGCGGUCGAACUGGGUAUCCACCAUGAUACUCAGCUCCUCCACAUCCUGGGUCAAGGUGUGGUUAGUGUCCCACAAGUGGCGGCGCUCAUCAUCAAGGGAUAACACCAAGGCGUUGGGAUACGCGUACGUGGCUCUACACUGGCAUCUAGGGUGGCUAUCAGCAGGUGGUAUCAGAGCCUAGGUUAGAAAAGUUAUUUGAAAGACAUAUUAGAUAUGUUAGAAACCCUAAUCCUCUCUAGGAAUAAGAAUUGAGACCAUUAGAUAUACCUUAAGUGAUAUCUGACCCAGUUAGCUAUUUAAGUUCUAACCCUUAAGUAUUGAUUAUUUUGCAGGUAUGGAGAAUGGUAAUGGACAUGUUAAUGGUAGUAGCGCGGCUAAUGGACAUGUAGAGCUGCUGAGAUCCAUUUCCUAUAGGCCUCGAGGUGGAGGAGACCGAGUUUGAUACUCACCUGCUGAUAGGCACCCUAGAUGCCAGUGUAGAGCCACGUAUGCGUAUUCCAACGCCUUGGUGUUAUUCCUUGAUGAUGAGCGCCGCCACUUGUGGGACACUAACCACACCUUGACCCAGGAUGUGGAGGAGCUGAGUAUCAUGAUGGAUACCCAGUUCGACCGCAUAGCCGAUUUGGAGAUUAGGCUAACUGCUGAGCAUAAUAUGCUGGAGGCCGCUCGUUUGGAGAUAGAGCGACAGAGGUUUAGGGUGACCCGACUAGCUGAGGGGAUCCGUGAUAGGAGUGCUGGCAUCAGGGCUGAUGCAGCUAUGCUUAUGGACGAGGCCACUAGUUACCUUCAGGGUAACGAGCAGGCAGGCGCAGAGGAGGAUCCGGCGGAGGACGUCGCCCCUGAUAGCCCUGCUGAGGGUUAGGUUAGGUUGACUUGAUAGUACUAGAUAUGUAGGAUCAGAAAAGGAAUAUUAGUCAAGUUAUCAAAUUUUGUCUAGGUGAAUGACUUGCUUCCGAGGCACCAUAUUCCUAAUUUUUGUUUAAGGGAUUAUCUGUAUAUAUUUUUCCUAACUUAUGUGCCUUAUUUUUGAAAAUGUUCCAACUUGUUAAUUGUAUAACUGUUCCGCAGAAAUAUAUGAUAAGUGUUUCAUUUCCUUUUCCUCCAUUUUCAUGUUGAUUUUAAUCACAUAAAGAAUAUUAAUAAUUGAAUAUAAAUAAAAUUUUGCUUAAUUGUCUUACUCUUCAGUAAUAGGCAUAAUUAGGCAAUGGGUCGUCAAGUAGUAGGAAGGAGCCGUGGGAGACCCACUAGACAACACCCGGAAGCGGGUGGUGAUAGGGAACCCGAGCUCAAUCGAGACCAAGGCAAGAGGGAGUGGCCGGAGAUCGAGUGGCCACCGCAAUUAACCGUAUCACUGACGUCCUAAAGCGUUUGACUGAACACCAACCCUCUGGACCAGUGCACCGCCAAGGAGGCCGAACCGAUUCCGAGGAUCAGGCACUGGAGAGGUUUUUGAAGUUUGGACCUCUUAAGUUCUACGGAGGACCCGAACCUGAGAUAGCUGAGGGAUGGUGGGAGAGAAUCUCCGACAUCUUCGCAGCUUUAAACUACACGGAAGAACGGCAGGUGACUUUCGCCGCAUUCCAGUUUGAGGGAGCUGCUCGCUCAUGGUGGAAUCUGGUUAGGAUUAACUGGGACAGGAAUCAUACUCCAAGAACUUGGGCAAACUUCACAAGAGAGUUCAAUGCCAAAUUCCUUCCACCUCUCAUUCAAGAGAAGAGAGAAGAUUUCAUUAGAUGCAAGCAAGGGGCGAUGAGUGUUGUCGAAUAUGAAGUCCAGUUCACAAAGCUAUCCCGCUUUGCACCUGAGUUGAUAACCACUGAGCAAAGGCGUGUCUGGAGGUUUGUGCAGGGUUUGAAUGUGGAACUACAGGAAGGUUUAGCCGCCGUGAGGAUAGAUACUUUUGCAGAUGCUGUCGAAAGAGCUCAGAGAGUUGAAGUAGCUAGAGCUCAAGUGAAAUCUUUUCAGGCUAAGAAAAGAUUUGCCCCCAACAGUAGUUGAGAGCCGACGUAUGGAAAUGUUCCACCGGCUAAAGUGGGCCGAGGAACAAGCGGAGUGACUAGUCCCGGAGCACCGCGAGGUGCACUAGCAAGAGGAACCGGGGCAAGGAAUGCAGGGGGAAGAAGCAAUGGAACUAGAGGGGGACCGAUUGGGAGAAGGACAACCUAGGAAUAACUCGCAGGGAGGUCGAGCAAUAAUUCCUCAAGUGACCUGUACUUAUUGCAAGAAACCUAGUCAUACUAUGGAUGGCUGCUGGAAGAAGCAAGGAAGGUGCUUGAGAUGCGGAAGUAGCGAGCACUAAAUUUCUGGAUGUCCAAAAAUACAGGAAGGGACUACUUCGAACGCUAGACCAAACACUUCUGGAGGGAGCCGGCCGACAGUUCCUGCCAGAGUGUAUGCUAUAGAUGACCAACCUGUACCUGAUUCCUCGGAAGUCGUGGAAGGUACUCUCCCCAUUUUUCAUCGAUUAGCUAAAGCGUUAAUUGACCCUGGUGCAACUCAUUCAUUCGUAAAUACAUCUUUUAUGUCUGGAAUAGAUGUGAAACCUGUUAGAUUAUCCUUCGAUCUUGAAGUUAGGACACCAAUGGGUAAUAAGAAGAUAAUCGCUAGCUUAGCCUAUAAGAAUUGUGAAUUCUGGAUUGGAGAGCGUAAAAUGCUAGUGGAUCUAAUCAGUUUGGACAUAAAAGGGUACGAUGUUAUCAUAGGAAUGGAUUUCCUACGCCAGUAUCAUGCUAAGCUUGAUUGCCGAGCGAAAGUGGUAGAAUUCUGUAUACCUGGAGAAGCAACCCUGAGGUUAGAUGUUAAGGGUAGGUUAGCAUCAUCUGCUAUGAUCUCAGGGAUACGGGCGAGGAAAAUGUUGUCAAAAGGAGCUCAAGGUUUCUUAGCCUUCUUGAUUAAUGCUCCCAGUGAUCAAGUGAAGUUAGAAGAUGUACUAGUGGUACGGGAAUUUCCGGAUGUUUUUUUCGAAGAGCUAAAGACUCUACCGCCGGAAAGAGAAGUGGAAUUUAAGAUUGACUUGGUGUCUGGAACAGCUCCAAUUUCUAAAACUCCGUACCGAAUGGCUCCUGCCGAGGUAAAGGAGUUGAAAAUUCAACUGCAAGAUCUCUUGGAGAAAGGUUUUGUGAAGGAGAGUGAUUCACCGUGGGAAGCACCCGUUCUAUUUGUUAAGAAAAAGGACGGAAGCUUGAGAUUAUGUAUCGAUUACCGAGGGUUAAAUGAGAUUACAAUUAAGAAUAAAUACCCUUUACCGUUGAUAGAUAGUUUGUUCGACCAACUGCAAGGGUCAGUAGUUUUCUCUAAACUGGACUUGAGGCAAGGGUAUUACCAGUUAAAGAUUAAAAAGGAGGAUAUACCCAAGAUUGCUUUUAGUACGAGAUAUGGACAUUCUGAGUUCGCAAUCAUGCCUUUUGGUUUAACUAAUGCACCAGCGGCAUUCAUGGAUUUAAUGCAGAGAGUCUUUAAGAAGUAUCUGGAUCAGUUUGUAGUGGUUUUCAUCGACGAUAUCUUGAUAUACUCUAAGACUCGAGAGGAACAUGUUAAGCACUUGGAGAUAGUCUUGUAAAUAUUAAGGGAGUAGAAGCUGUAUGCCAAAUUCAGCAAGUGCGAGUUUUGGCUGGAAGAAAUAUCUUUUCUAGGACAUAAAGUUUCCAAGGAGGGAAUUGCCGUGGAUCUGGCAAAAGUUGAGGCCGUUAUGAAUUGGAAGCAGCCGGAAAUUCCAACUGAAGUUAGAAGUUUCUUGGGAUUAGCAGGUUAUUAUAGGCGAUUUAUCAAGGAUUUUUCGAAAAUUGCUGGACCCAUGACCGAGCUAACCAAGAAAGGGAAUAGGUUCAUUUGGACUUCGAAGUGCGAGUCAAGUUUUCAGGAAUUAAAGAAGCGUUUAACAUCCGCUCCUGUUUUGGUGUUACCUGAUGGGAAAAAAGGUUAUGCCGUAUACUUCGAUGCUUCUGGAGAAGGUCUAGGAUGUGUUUUAAUGCAAAAUGGUAAAGUGAUUGCCUACGCUUCCAGGAGACUGAAACCUCACGAACAAAACUACCCAACUCAUGACUUAGAGUUAGCAGCAGUGAUUUUCGCCUUAAAGAAAUGGAGACACUACUUGUAUGGCGUGACUUUUGAGAUUUAUACGGACCAUAAGAGUCUCAAGUAUUUGUUCUCCCAGAAGGAACUAAAUUUGAGACAAAGGCGAUGGGUACAAUUUGUGGAAGAUUAUGACUGUUCAAUUAACUACCACCCAGGAAAAGCUAAUGUGAUAGCUGACGCUCUAAGUAGAAAGGCCCAAGUAGCAGGGUUAAUGGUUAAAGAGUGGGACAUGCUAGAAGAAAUAAGUGGUUGGAACCCUCGCUUGGAGAAACUGAAGAUAUUAUUUGGGAACUUAUCGUUAAAAUCACCAUUACUAGAGCGUAUUAAGGAGGCCCAGAAAAUGGACCCUAUGAUUCAGAAGAAUUUGGAGAAAGUGCAAAAAGGGGAAACCCUAGAUUUUAACUUAGGGUUUGAAGGUGUAUUGAGAUUCCGAAAUCGAAUUGUGAUUCCGGCAGAUGAAAAGAUAAGAAAAGAAAUUUUAGAAGAAUCACAUCGAUCGAAGUAUACCAUACAUCCAGGGGUGACUAAGAUGUAUCAUGAUGUGAAGGGAUUAUACUGGUGGGAAGGUUUGAAAAAGAACGUGGCCGAGUUUGUACAGAGAUGCUUGAUCUGCCAACAAGUAAAAGCUGAGCAUCAGAAGCCCUCUGGUUUAUUGCAACCGUUAGAAAUCCCUGAAUGGAAAUGGGAACAUAUAACAAUGGAUUUUGUAACGGGAUUGCCUAGAAGUCAAAAAGGAUUUGAUGCAAUUUGGGUAAUAGUUGACCGACUCACUAAAUCUGUACAUUUCCUACCCAUAAGCAUGAGUUUUUCUUUGGAAAAACUGGUCAAGUUGUACACAGAAGAGAUCCUAAGAUUACAUGGUAUCCCUGUAAGUAUCGUGUCUGAUCGAGACCCAAGGUUUGUCUCGCGUUUUUGGCAGAAAUUUCAGGAGUCUUUGGGGACCAAGUUGAAAUUUAGUACUGCUUACCAUCCCCAAACCGACGGGCAGGCGGAAAGAACAAUUCAAACUUUGGAGGAUCUGCUGAGAUCGUGUAUAUUGGAUUUUGGAGGUAAAUUGAGUAAUUAUAUGACCUUAAUAGAAUUUGCGUAUAACAACAGUUAUCAAACCUCAAUUCAAAUGGCACCUUAUGAAGCUUUGUAUGGGAGAAGGUGUCGAUCUCCGAUUAAUUGGGAUGAAAUAGGAGAGAAGAAGAUUGUAGAUCCAACAGCGAUACCUUGGAUAGAAGAAACCCAGGAGAAAGUGAAACUAAUUAGAGAAAGGCUUCAAACCGCUCAGAGUAGACAAAAGAGCGACGCCGACACAAGGAGGAAAGAUUUGGAAUUCGAAGUAGGAGACAAGGUCUUCCUAAGAAUUAAAUCCUUGAAGGGCGGAGUAGUGUCUAAGAAAGGUAAGAAGCUAAAGCCAAGGUAUAUCGGACCUUUCGAAAUUUUGAAGCGAGUUGGGAAUGUAGCAUAUCAGCUGAAGUUACCCGCAAGCAUGGCUAAGGUUCACGAUGUAUUUCACGUUUUCAUGCUUAAGAAAUAUUAUUCCGACCCAAGUCAUGUGCUGCCACUGGAGGGAAUUGAAGUGGAUGAGACGUUAACGUAUGAAGAAGGACUGGUCAAGAUUUUGGAAAGAAAAGUGAAGGAGCUGAGGAAUAAGAAAAUUCCUUUGGUAAAGAUUGUAUGGAGAAAUCAUGGACUUGAGGAAGCAACUUGGGAAUUGGAGGAGGAAAUGCAGAAAAAGUACCCUGAUUUAUUUCCUUAGAAUGUGUGAAUUUUGAGGACAAAAUUCUUUGUAAGGAGGGGAGGAUGUGAGAACCCUGAAAAUAGAUAUAUAAGCCAGUGCAUAUUUCAUUUGCAUUUCUUUUAUUCCUUAAUAAUUUCUAGCAUUACUUUUACUUGUUCGCAAUUAAGUACGUAAAAAUAAUUUUUAUGUGCAAACUGACACACUUGUAUUAAAUUAUUAUUUCAUUUGACCUUAUAUUAUUAAAUUGAUAAAUUUCGAGUUAGACUAACUCUAUCUCUUGAGAAUAAAUAAUUGGAAAUUCUGAUAACUAAUUUAAUCGCUAAAUAAUGUUAGGAAUUACUAGGAACCUUAAUAUUAAAUUUUUAAUCGAUAAAUAUUCGAUAAAAAAAAUAGUUUAAGUAUACUAGUGUAUAAUUAGGCGUUCAAAUCACACUUGGGGAUAAUUUUUGGUUUUAAGAUUAGAAUGGAGAAUUUAAGUAGAGGUUAGGAAGCAAAGUGAAAAGACUAAAAUGCCUUACAACCACAACAUUUUCAUGUAAAACCAAACAAUCCCUCUGACAGCAUCUCAAUCACCGCCCCAAUCGGCCAAUCACAUUUUCACCAAUUCUAUACGCAACCAUUUCCUACACUAAAACCCUUCUCCAAAAUCGCGGCACCAUAUCUUUACUUCUUCGUUCCUAUAUCACAAACCACCAUUCCAUUUCCUCUGCACAAAAUUUUCUCAGACCACAACACUUCCUCUCCACAACCACAUUUCCUCUUUGUCUCGUUAUCAUCGACAAAGAGGAACUGAGGGAAGAAGCCGUGAGCUGCAAAAUUUUCUGGUUCUGCCGUGAGUUGGAGCGAAACCAGGGAGAAAAUCGUGAGUGAGUUUCACCAUUCUGCACCUCCAUCUCCACCAGCUGCAACCAGCUCUCAGCCGCAACCACUGCAACCGCAACCAACCCUCCAAGCCGUGCGUGAGAGCCGAGAGGAAGAAAGAAAUUCCAGACUUCUUGUGCGUAGGCUUGGCUUGUAUCUGAGGUAAUUGCUGGGCUAAAUUAGGUUAAUUACUAAUAGAUAAAAACAUAUCAGAGCCUGCAUGUGUUGCUUGUGCAAUCGGUUGAUGAAUUCAAGACACUAGAAAAUUCUGUUUUGAUGAAAAUGUUUUUGCCGAGGAACUGGUUUGGAAAUGUAACUUUAUUUUUGCUUCCCUGUGACAAUCUGAACUUAAAGAUGUGUCUCCCUAACUUAAGACAAGAUGAAUAAGUUAGUUCCAGCUUUGCAUGUUGAUUUUAAACCAUCGGAUGAGACAUUAGAAAAAGAAAAAUCUAACUGGAUGGCUAAAUGGUUCGGCCGAGAGAUUAGCAAGGUAAUGCAGUUUCUAAUCUGUCCAAUUUUGAUAACCUGAGGUUGAGAUCAUGAUUAGUUAACUAAAAAGUGAAAGAUUAAGUUGAUAUGAGUGUUGCAUGUGGAAUCUAGACUCGGAUGAUGAUGUUAAGGCAUAAGAAAAUUCUGUUUUGAAAAGAAAAUGGUUGACCGAGAAUUGAUUAAGAAUUUCAUGAUGUAAUCUGCUUUGUUGUGAUGAUCAAAACCUGAGAUUAUGAUUAGUUAACUUAAACUUGGAUGAUUAAUACAAUUAAGGCUUUGCAUGUUGAAUUUGAGUUCCUAAAAUGCUGAUUUAACCAAGGAAAAAGCUAGAUUAAGAACAUACAAUUUCUGGAAAAUUUUUUUUGUGAACUACCGUGAGUUAAACUUGGAAAUUUUGAGGAUUAUAACAGUUGUUUGAACUUAAUUUCGAGCUGGAAAUGUUAAUCGGUUAACUAAGUGUUUACAAGUCAAAUUUGAGUAAGUAAUACUAUGUUUUAAUCAAGAAAAUAAAAUAAAAACAGAAAGUUUCUUCAUACAUGUUCAUCCGUGACUAGCUGGACAGAUUUCUGAAUUUUUGGGAUGUUUGAAGCUGUUAUUCGAAUUCGAUUUUGAACCAGAAAUGUUAAUUAGCUAGCCAAAGGUUCACAUGACGAAUUUGAGAAUCUAAAAUCAUGUUUUAGCCAAGGAAAAGUUGGAUUUAUAAAACCCUAAGUGCUGGAAAGGUAUUGAUGGCCGAGGGUUAUGAACCAGAAUUUUCAGUUUGUCUUUGAAAAUUUUAAUUGGUUUCUGGAAUUUUAUUUUAUUUUAUUUUUUUCCCGUUGGAAUAUAAUGGUUUAGAAAUACAUAGGAGAUGUAAAUUUUAAGUUGUGUAAGUUGUUUAGCAAUAAAAUAUUGGAUAUAUUGAAAGAUUGAACAAAAAAUGUUGGCAUAUAAAUGCUGGAAUUUCUUUUGUGAUAGCUGAAGGUUGAGUUGGAAUCUCAGCUUGGUUUUGAAAUUUUUCUUUGAAACAUAAUGGUUGGAAAUGCCUGAAAUAUGUUGUUUUAGAGUUCUAUAAGAAAUGUAUGGAUGGUUUGAAUAAAAAUCUUAUGGUGUUAAAUGAGAAAAAGGAGUUUUUCACAAGUGAAAAAUGAGUCUUCAGAUUUUCGGAUUUCACUGACCAGUCUCAGUAAAAUACUUAUAUCUUGGUGUAGGAAAAUCCGUUUAAGGUGCCGUCAGUGGCAUUUGAAACUAGAAUCAUGGGCCUUUGUUCUGUAGAAAUUUCAUAUUUUUCCUCCAUGUGUACUGCUGUCCGUGACUCCUCAAAGUAGGCUGUCCUGCUUAAAUGUCCUGUUUCUUCAUGAAACUGAAUUUUGACUUGAAUCGAACAUUUAGCUUAAUUGUGAUUUGAAUUCCUGAUUGAAUUAUGGUUGGAAGUGAUUGAUGGUUGUCAAGGGCUAAUGAUUGAUGAAGCCCUUGGCCAUUUGAAUGAUUUUAUAAAUAUUAAAGGAUGAUGAACUUUAAUUGCUGGAAUUUCUUGGAGGCGUUACCUUCAUUUUGUUUUAGUUAAGAUGUGAUAUGAGAUUGCCAAAAUCAAGUGCUAAUGAUUGACGAAACCUUGGUCAUUCGUUUUAUUCUUGAUCAGAAUUGAAUCUGUUGAAACCUAGGGCUAAUGAUUGACGAAACUCUAGUGAAAUUUCUAUUUGAAAUGUGAGUUGGUCAUAUUGACAAAUAUGAAAUAUUAUGUGCUUGUAAAUCGGAAUCGUAAGGAAUUUAUUUUGGUCCUGUGAACUUGAGAAGUUUUUAAGCAAGCUAUUUAAAUAUAUCUUCACUCUAAUAUGGUACGAUAGAACUUAGCACUGAAGGUUAAAGUUAGAAAUUUCGUGUAGGAAUUUUCUAAACCUUGCCAACUCGAAAUUUUCCUUCAACUCGAACUAACCUUAAUAGUUAUAGAAAAUAAUUUCUCUAACUUUUGAAAACCCUAAGUCUUAUUUUAAUUUCUUUUCUUUCUUUAAAAUUUGCCCUUGGAUAGUUGUCGGUAGGAAAGGUUCCAAAAUAAGAAUUUUAAUAACUUUAAUUAAAAAUGAAAAAACUUGCUCGACAAGAAACUUUAUUUUAGGUAAAAUAGUUUUAGUGAUAAUUUUUGCAAGAACCGUAGCUUUAAAGAAAUUUUCAAGAUAUCUUUCUAACUUUGAUGUUAAGAGGUUUGUCGACUUAUUUCAAGAAAAUAAUACUAGUUACCCUUUUAUAAGGAAAAAUAUCUCAAGGAAAACUAUAAGAAAUAUUUCUACUACUUUUGUCAAGUUUCAACCUAAGUAGAUUCUUGAAUUUACUAUGAGAAAGUAAACUAGUAAUAUAUUAGAUAAAUCUUGAUGUGUAUAAGCUUAAAAACUGAAUAGAAACUUAUAGUUUCAAAAUUUGGUAUUCUAGGAUAUUGCGAGGACGCGGAAUUCGAUUCCCAAUUUGACAUCUGAACUUCAC